GGAGGGGACCUGACCCAGCUGAGGGGGGAGAAGGUGGAGGAGACACUUGGGCUGAGUCUUACAUGUGUUGGAGGUAGCCAGGUGAGGAGAGUAGCUGGGGAGAGGGACAUCCUGGAAAAAGACUGUGAACAGAAGAAUGGACACCAACCGCGGAAUGAACCCGUCAAGCAGAUUCAGUGCUUUCUCUCUCUCUCAGCUCACUUGCUCUAGGGGAAGCAGGUUCCAUGCUGUGAGUGUCCGCAUGAAAGGACCACAUGCUGAAGACCGGAGAUUCUCAGCCUAGCCCAUCAACACCCACUCGCCCAAGCUUGGAAACAGAUCCCUCAGCCCCAGGCAAGUCUUUGUGAUGACCAGAGUCCUGAUCAGUAGCUUGGCUGCAACCUCCUGAAAGAUCUGGAACCAGAGGCCCCCAACUAAGCUGUUCGUAGAUUUGUGACCUAGAGAAAGAGUGAGAUGAUAAUGUUUUCAGCUUCUAA